rnacentral:hammerhead_ribozyme from 1 species
AUCCAGAUGACGAGUCCCAAAUAGGACGAAAUGCCCAUUUUGGAU